rnacentral:rRNA from 1 species
UACGUAGGGUGCAAGCGUUAUUCGGAAUUACUGGGCGUAAAGCGUGCGCAGGCGGUUUCGUAAGUCUGUCGUGAAAUCCCCGGGCUUAACCUGGGAAUGGCGAUGGAGACUGCGAGGCUAGAGUUUGGCAGAGGGGGGUAGAAUUCCACGUGUAGCAGUGAAAUGCGUAGAGAUGUGGAGGAACACCGAUGGCGAAGGCAGCCCCCUGGGUCAAAACUGACGCUCAUGCACGAAAGCGUGGGGAGCAAACAGG